GGGGCGGCAAAUGAUCAAAGUUAGAAGUAAAGUGGGGCAAAAGAUCCAGUUUCUCCAUACGAGACUAUCUUCGAUUUGAUUUACUUUCUUCAGUUUAUCCUUGUUACUGUUAAGUUCGCAGUGGUUCAGUUUCUAUGAUUUAGCCUUUAACUUUAGUUAGUUCAGUUCUCCCAGUCAUGUUUUGUCGUCUAUCUGAUGAGAUUAUCAUCAUCAGCUUUGGUUGGUUCAGUUAUCAUUUAUUUCUUCAGUUAUUCAUUAUUCCUUAGUAUUACAUAUUUUCCCAUUCUUUGAGCUUACAUCAUUGUUCGAUCUCCCAGUCUCCACAGUUUUCUUCAGUACAAUUUUCAGUACUUAUCGUCUACUCCCUCCGUCUCAUUAUGGGACGGAGGGAGUACCAUUUUUCCAGUUUCGAUUUCUUCAAUUUCGUAAGUUUCUUCUUCAUUUUGUUUCUUCAUUAUAUACUUCUUCAAUCUACUUUUCAAAUCUUCCCUUGUCACUUUUCAUUCUAAUCCUUCUGUUCUGGGUCUGUGUAUUUUCUAUCCUUUUUCAUUGUCUUUCGCCAUUCUUCCCUUGUCAAUCCGUGCUGGUGUCGUAUGGACUUUGUGCAGAGAAACAAAAAAUCGAUAAGUACAUUGCUUUUGAGCUCAACACCCGAGGGUGGUUGCAUUGGCGAUUACACAAAUUCAGGCAUAUGAAACUACACCUGACGAGCUCGUGUAUCUUUUAAAGGCGGGAUGUAUUGUCGUUUUAAGGCUGACCUCAAGACAGGAAUAGCUUAUCAAUUGUUUUCGGUGCUCUCUAGUAUUCAUGUAAGCAUGAUGGUUCUACUGUCGAAUUCCAUGUUGUGAGGGCUAGGGUUUGUAUUAGGCUGUCGCCAUGAAUCUGGAGCUACAAGGAGUAGAAUGACGAGAGGAA